rnacentral:rRNA from 1 species
UACAGAGGUGGCAAGCGUUGUUCGGAAUUACUGGGCGUAAAGGGCGCGUAGGCGGCCUUCUAAGUCAGACGUGAAAUCCCCCGGCUUAACCUGGGAACUGCGUCUGAUACUGGGAGGCUUGAGUAUGGGAGAGGGAUGUAGAAUUCCAGGUGUAGCGGUGAAAUGCGUAGAUAUCAGGAGGAACACCAAUAGCGAAGGCAGCUCGCUGGGACGUUACUGACACUGAGGCGCGAAAGCGUGGGGAGCGAACAGG